UUGCUGUGAUGAUCUCUCAAUGGUGGUUUCAACUUUCUGAGAGUUGAAUGUGAGGACAUUAAAUUCCUUGGCUGUGUCUGAGCAC
rfam:Picoides pubescens contig7013, whole genome shotgun sequence.